rnacentral:miRNA from 1 species
CUACCACUGGGUAUCCAUCAUCAUUUGCUGGGCAUCUGAUGAGUACAGCCAUGUCUGUUGGGCAUCUAUAGUCUUCUAUCAGGCAUUGUGGUCUCUGCUGACUCUCUUGUCAUUUCACCAUCAUCACCAUCCAUGAGAA